ACUGUAAUCUUCAGUGUACACAGAUCAGCAAUAACAUUAAAAUUACUAGUUUAAUAUUGUGUAGGUCCCCCUUGUGCAACCAAAGCAGCUUGGUUUCAUCUUUUCAUGGACUCCACAAGACCUCUGGAGGUGUCCUGUGAUAUCAAGCAUCGAGAUCUUUAUCAAGAGCAUCACUUGGAGCGCUUUUGACAUUGAUGUUGAAGAGAGGCCAUUCCUGUGAAUCAGCUGACUGUGCUUUCAAGACAAGGAAAGGGGUGGAUUCUGAUGUGAGCUCUUAAGGAUGGAGGGUCUCCGUGGGCCCGGAAUGAUUGGGCACAUGGCAGGAAUUCUCUUUGGACAGGAUGCUGGACUUUCACAGGUACCACAAACACAUCCUCACACCCACAUCUUAAAACAGUCAACUGGGAUUUUUGAGCGAUUCAAAAU
rnacentral:lncRNA from 1 species